UGAUCUGGUUCGGGUGAACGCCUAGCCGGCAGGCUUAACACAUGCAAGUCGAGGGGUAACAUUGUAGCUUGCUACAGAUGACGACCGGCGCACGGGUGCGUAAUGCGUAUAGAACUUACCUUUUACAGAGGGAUAGCCUUUAGAAAUGAAGAUUAAUACCUCAUAGUAUUAUUGAUUGGCAUCAAUUAAUAAUUAAAGAUUUAUCGGUAAAAGAUGGCUAUGCGUCCUAUUAGCUAGAUGGUAAGGUAAUGGCUUACCAUGGCUACGAUAGGUAGGGGCCCUGAGAGGGGGAUCCCCCACACUGGUACUGAGACACGGACCAGACUCCUACGGGAGGCAGCAGUGAGGAAUAUUGGGCAAUGGAGGUAACUCUGACCCAGCCAUGCCGCGUGCAGGAAGACUGCCCUAUGGGUUGUAAACUGCUUUUAUACAGGAAGAAACACUCGUACGUGUACGAGCUUGACGGUACUGUAAGAAUAAGGACCGGCUAACUCCGUGCCAGCAGCCGCGGUAAUACGGAGGGUCCGAGCGUUAUCCGGAAUCAUUGGGUUUAAAGGGUCCGCAGGCGGUCAAUUAAGUCAGAGGUGAAAUCCCAUAGCUUAACUAUGGAACUGCCUUUGAUACUGGUUGACUUGAGUCAUAUGGAAGUAGAUAGAAUGUGUAGUGUAGCGGUGAAAUGCAUAGAUAUUACACAGAAUACCGAUUGCGAAGGCAGUCUACUACGUAUGUACUGACGCUCAUGGACGAAAGCGUGGGGAGCGAACAGGAUUAGAUACCCUGGUAGU
rnacentral:rRNA from 1 species